ACGAGAUUGCCGUGUUUCCAUGGCGGGGAAGAUGCCGAUGUGAGAAUUCUUUCAAGGACAGGGCAAACAAGUGACGGUUCUGUGUGUCAAUCAGAUUGCACAGGAGGUGAACGACAACCAAUAUGAGGGUUAGAAAGGAUCUAGUGAAAGAGGACCUGGUGCUUUCCUGUCACGUCUGAUGAAUAAUCUCUUCUCAGGCUUCCAGCCAGAUACAGGAAACUGUCCAGUCACGUUGGCCGGGGAGGAGUAACUCAGCUCAGACCGGACUCAUUCAGGAUGGCUGCCCACUCUGCCGCUUCACGAUGCCAGGGUCACCCCUGUUUCAUAAAUACAAGCAUUUUCACCUAGGGUCAUGGGACCGGGGGGGGUGGGGGGCGGGGGUGAGUGUAGCUGAA